rnacentral:rRNA from 1 species
UACGAAGGGGGCUAGCGUUGCUCGGAAUCAUUGGGCGUAAAGCGCACGUAGGCGGCUUGCCAAGUCGGACGUGAAAUCCCUCAGCUCAACUGAGGACGUGCAUCCGAAACUGGCGAGCUUGAGUGCUGAAGAGGAUCGCGGAAUUCCCGGUGUAGAGGUGAAAUUCGUAGAUAUCGGGAGGAACACCAGUGGCGAAGGCGGCGAUCUGGGCAGACACUGACGCUGAGGUGCGAAAGCGUGGGGAGCAAACAGG